UACGUAGGUGGCAAGCGUUGUCCGGAUUUACUGGGCGUAAAGGGCGUGCAGGCGGUCUGUUAAGUGCAGGGUGAAAGCUCCCGGCUCAACUGGGAGAGGUCCUUGCAUACUGGCGGACUUGAGGGGGGUAGAGGAAAGUGGAAUUCCCGGUGUAGUGGUGAAAUGCGCAGAUAUCAGGAGGAACACCGGUGGCGAAGGCGGGACUCUGGGCCGAUACUGACGCUGAGGAGCGAAAGCGUGGGGAGCGAACAGG
rnacentral:rRNA from 1 species